rnacentral:rRNA from 1 species
UAACGCGUGAGGAACCUGCCUUUCAGAGGGGGACAACAGUUGGAAACGACUGCUAAUACCGCAUGAAACAUUCGGAUCGCAUGGUUUGAAUGUCAAAGAUUUAUCGCUGAAAGAUGGCCUCGCGUCUGAUUAGCUAGUUGGUGAGGUAAAGGCUCACCAAGGCGACGAUCAGUAGCCGGACUGAGAGGUUGACCGGCCACAUUGGGACUGAGAUACGGCCCAGACUCCUACGGGAGGCAGCAG